GAGAGUUAAAUAGUACGUGAAAUUGUUGAAAGGGAAACGAUUGAAGUCAGUCAUGCUAGUGAGGAAUCAACCUGAUGGUGCUUGGGUUCUCCCUCGUACUUUCCGGUGCACUUUCUCACCCGGCAGGUUAGCAUCAAUUUCGGUUAUCAUAAAAAAUUUGAGAGAAUGUGGCUUUCCUUCGGGAAAGUGUUAUAGAUCUCGAUCUAUGUGGUGACCGGGAUUGAGGAUUGCAGCGGAUACCCUCGUGGCUCGUCACCUGGCUUCUGACGGUUACCCCGCUUUCGAUAGCUCGCUAACGUUAGUGGGACUCGAUUGUCUAGAUGUCAGAGUGAUUGAUUUUCGCUAAGGAUGCUGACGUAAUGGCUUUAAACGA
rnacentral:rRNA from 1 species